UACAACACCAAAGGUGUUUUGGUGGGAUAGAGAGAGAAAGAGAUUUUCAGCGAAUGUUCCAAGAUUGGUUUCAAUGGCAACACGAGAGUGAAGCGGUUGGAAUGAAACAGAAUUUGCCUGGCGGCCAUAGCGCGGUGGUCCCACCUGACCCCAUGCCGAACUCAGAAGUGAAACGCCGUAGCGCCGAUGGUAGUGUGGGGGUCUCCCCACUGCGAGAGUAGGACACUGCCAGGCAUCAAAU
rnacentral:rRNA from 1 species